UCUAGUAAAAUAGACCCUGCCUACAAUCCACAGGGAGUCCAGAGGCCCGUGAUGGACAGGUAUUCAGGAGAGGUUCGUGGAGAAGGUGGUACGUACACUGAGUCUGGUGAGUUUUAGCCAAGCAGAGGGGAGAACUCGGCUCUCAGCCGGCCCCGCUAGUGUCCUGGGCAGGGGACACAUACUGAGCACUAAAGCGGGGGGCUGAGAGCAGGUGCCCGCAGCACUGCACUCACACGGGCCCCUGUUUAACUUCUUUAAGCCUCAGUUUCCUCAUCUGUAAAGUAAGGACAAUAAUGCCAAUUUCAGCGUGUUGUUGCAAGGAUGAAAUAUAACACUUUCUCUAACAAGCUCGGCACAACAAAAGCGCUGAAUAGAGUGAUGAUCAUUAUUACUAUUACUAUUACUAACAGAAACUAAAGCUGCACCAGUAAGAGAGAGGACCAGAUUAUAGAAAGUUUUGAAAACCAUGCCAAGGCGUUAAGGAAAAUUAAGUGUGUGGAGUGGAUUAGAGACGCAAGAAGUAGACCCCAGGAAGUCAAUUAUGAGGCUGAUGGGAUUCAAGUGAAAGGUGUAUUUCAUUUCCUCAAGCAGCUGUAUCAAAUUACCAUAAACUGGGUGGCUUAAAACGAUGGUAAGGUUCUGUCUCCCGAUUCCGGAGGCUAGAAGUCUGAAAUCAAGGUGUCGGCAGGGCCACACUCCCUCUAGAGGCUUUAGGGGAGGAUGCAUUCCUCGCCUCUUUCAGCUUCUGGUGGUCCAGCACGCUUUGGCUUGAGGCUACAUCACUUCAAAUGUCAAGGCCAGCGUCUUCACCUCUCUCGCUGUUGUCUUCACAUCGCCCCUUCCUGUCUGUGGCAUCUAUCAAAUCUCCCUGGGCCUCCCUCUUAUAGAAAUACACGUGAUUGCAUUUAGUGCCCACCCAGGUAAUCCAACUUCAUCUCCUCGUCUCAAGCUCCUUGCCCGUUCACAUCCUAUGUCAUUGAAUAUUCACAGUCUUUUAAGGCAUUUCCCCUAAUAAAUUUCCUGCACCUUUAACUGAUCUUGGUGUCUGCUUCUCAGAGGACAUGAACUAACACAAGCCAGGAUCUGCCAUGAGGAGCAGAGGGCAGUGGGAAGAAAGCAGCUCGGGGG
rnacentral:lncRNA from 1 species